GGACAUGAAGGUGAUCUGGUUGCCACGUCUGUCACCCCAUUGAUUGGUCAGGGUGGGAUAGGCUGGUCUGGAAGACUAGGUGUGUGUCCACUUCCUCUCACUUCAUGUGUGUUCCUCCAAAGCUGCAUGCUCAGUAGAAGAGGAUGACCCCCUUUAAUGGAAAAGGGCUGCUUUCUGGUCAAGGGAAUAUGAACACUGUGCUUCCCUGCUAGGCCCCCAGAACAAACUCUCAGGGCCCAUCUAUAGGGUAGUCAAGUCCCCAAGACUGCAGACAUAUCCAGAUGAGGUUCUUCAUGUAGCAAUCUGCCUUUCAAA
rfam:Ictidomys tridecemlineatus contig115459, whole genome shotgun sequence.